rnacentral:rRNA from 1 species
UACGUAGGGGGCAAGCGUUGUCCGGAAUCAUUGGGCGUAAAGCGCGUGUAGGCGGUUCGGUAAGUCCGCUGUGAAAGUCGGGGGCUCAACCCUCGGAUGCCGGUGGAUACUGUCGGACUAGAGUACGGAAGAGGCGAGUGGAAUUCCUGGUGUAGCGGUGAAAUGCGCAGACAUCAGGAGGAACACCGAUUGCGAAGGCAGCUCGCUGGGACGUUACUGACGCUGAGACGCGAAAGCGUGGGGAGCAAACAGG